GCUCCCAUCGUCUAGUGGCCUAGGAUGUCGCCCUUUCACGGCGAACACAGGGGUUCGAAUCCCCUUGGGAGUA
rnacentral:tRNA from 1 species